UGGGGAAUCUUGCGCAAUGGGCGAAAGCCUGACGCAGCGACGCCGCGUGAGUGAUGAAGGCCUUCGGGUUGUAAAGCUCUGUGGAGAGGGACGAAUAAGCGUUGGCUAAUAUCCAGCGUGAUGACGGUACCUUUUUAGCAAGCACCGGCUAACUCUGUGCCAGCAGCCGCGGUAAGACAGAGGGUGCAAACGUUGUUCGGAAUUACUGGGCGUAAAGCGCGUGUAGGCUGCUCAGAAAGUCGGAUGUGAAAGCCCUGGGCUUAACCUAGGAAGUGCAUUCGAAACUUCUGAGCUUGAGUUCUGGAGAGGAAGGCGGAAUUCUCGGUGUAGAGGUGAAAUUCGUAGAUAUCGAGAGGAACACCGGUGGCGAAGGCGGCCUUCUGGACAGUGACUGACGCUGAGACGCGAAAGCGUGGGGAGCAAACAG
rnacentral:rRNA from 1 species